rnacentral:rRNA from 1 species
UAGGGAAUAUUGGGCAAUGGACGGAAGUCUGACCCAGCCAUGCCGCGUGCAGGAAGAAGGCCUUCUGGGUUGUAAACUGCUUUUAUCAGGGAAGAAAACACUCCUGCGGGAGAAACUGACGGUACCUGAUGAAUAAGCACCGGCUAACUCCGUGCCAGCAGCCGCGGUAAUACGGAGGGUGCAAGCGUUGUCCGGAUUUAUUGGGUUUAAAGGGUGCGUAGGCGGCUUAUUAAGUCAGUGGUGAAAGCCAACAGCUCAACUGUUGAACUGCCAUUGAUACUGAUAAGCUUGAGUACAGACGAGGUAGGCGGAAUUGAAGAUGUAGCGGUGAAAUGCAUAGAUAUCUUCAAGAACACCGAUUGCGUAGGCAGCUUACUAGGCUGUAACUGACGCUGAGGCACGAAAGCGUGGGGAGCGAACAGG